rnacentral:rRNA from 1 species
GUCAGGCCUGCCCAGUGAAAAUUUAACGGCCGCGGUAUAUUGACCGUGCAAAGGUAGCAUAAUCAUUAGUCUUUUAAUAGGAGGCUGGAAUGAAUGGUUUAACGAAAUAUAAACUGUCUUAAUUGUAUAUUAUAAUUUAACUUUUAAGUUAAAAGGCUUAAAUUUUUUUGGUGGACGAGAAGACCCUAUAGAGCUUUACAUUAAUUUCUUUAUAUUAUUUUGAUUUAUAUACUAUAUAAUUUUUUUUUGUGUUUUGUUGGGGUGACAAGGAAUAGAUAAUUAACUUUCAUUAUUUAUUUAACAUUAAUAUAUGAUUUGUUGGAUCCAUUAUUAUUGAUCAUUAGAUUAAGUUACCUUAGGGAUAACAGCGUAAUCUUUCUUUGAAGUUCAAAUUUACAGGAAGGGUUGCGACCUCGAUGUUGGAUUAAGAUAAUAAUUAGGUGCAGUAGCUUAAUUAAUAGGUCUGUUCGACCUUU